rnacentral:rRNA from 1 species
ACCUUAAAUUUAACUCAAAAAACUGCACAAGCUCGAUCCCAUCUGUUCUCGGAAGCUAAGCAGGAUAGGGACUGGUUAGUAUUUGGAUGGGAGACCACCUAGGAAGAUCAGGUGCUGUAGGUG